rnacentral:lncRNA from 1 species
UGAUAUUAUUAUAUAGAGAUCAACUUCUAACUUUAUUCAAACAUUGCAGAUUAGUAAUUUGGAAUCAAACAACAAGUCGAAAUCGUAUUGGGACUAAAUUCACAGUGUUGAGUAUCCCACGAAUGAAGGUCCCCGCGACUUGUAGCGCUGAUUGAAGAGUUCCAGCUGUAGGAUGGGGAGAGUAUGAACAAUGAAGUUGGAAAUGGUGGUCUUACUUGCGAAGGGAGGGGCAUUAGCACUGCCAUUCACAGAACAAGUUACAAUGCCGCUGAUGUUAACCGCAGCAGUAAUAGUUCCGAGGCCUUGAGCUUCGUCAGCUUGUGCUGCUAUUAAAACAAGGACCAAAAUGGAGACUAAGAUGGUAAAUUUCAUUGCCAUUGAUAUAAAAGAGCUCUUGUACGUGCUUACAAUUAAGGGAUAUGAUUGGCAUAAUGCCUAG